rnacentral:rRNA from 1 species
GAUGAACGCUGGCGGCGUGCCUAAUACAUGCAAGUCGAGCGAACAGACGAGGAGCUUGCUCCUCUGACGUUAGCGGCGGACGGGUGAGUAACACGUGGAUAACCUACCUAUAAGACUGGGAUAACUUCGGGAAACCGGAGCUAAUACCGGAUAAUAUAUUGAACCGCAUGGUUCAAUAGUGAAAGACGGUUUUGCUGUCACUUAUAGAUGGAUCCGCGCCGCAUUAGCUAGUUGGUAAGGUAACGGCUUACCAAGGCAACGAUGCGUAGCCGACCUGAGAGGGUGAUCGGCCACACGGGAACGGAGACACGGCCCAGACUCCUACGGGAGGCAGCAGUAGGGAAUCUUCCGCAAUGGGCGAAAGCCUGACGGAGCAACGCCGCGUGAGUGAUGAAGGUCUUCGGAUCGUAAAACUCUGUUAUUAGGGAAGAACAAUGUGUAAGUAACUAUGCACGUCUUGACGGUACCUAAUCAGAAAGCCACGGCUAACUACGUG